ACUCUUUUGGAUAUAUUGGUAAUAGGCUUGCAAGCUCAAUGUAAAUACAGGGUAAGCGCAACGCAGUCUCCAAUUGAUGUAGAGGCUAUAUUGAUUGUGUCAGGGACGUGCAGAUAUUGCGUUGUGUUCUGUGUUGCGUCUUACUUUGAUCAUCCAAUGAUGAAGUGUUCGGUUGUGACAAAAGGCUUCUGAUGGAAUGUCACCAAAUUUUCUAUCACAAUAUUAUGUUCAGUCCUGUACCUUUUCCAAAGUUCAAUUUUGGGGAGUUCCCGAAAAACAGGUUGUUGAUUGGGAAGAAGUGCGGGAUAUGGUAAUUGUGAUAUGCUACCUGCCAAAUGAAAAGAAACCACAAGUUGUUGGUGCCAAAUAAAGGUCGCUGACUUUAUGAUAAUAUCUCAGAUAUUCAAAGAAAACCAGUGGCCAUGUAUGUGAUUUGAAUAUCACGAUUCUUUUAUGCUUCAGGAAUAUUUCCCAUGUUAUGCUUCUGGUAAUGGUUUAGAAGACGGGGUUGGUGAUUUCAUGACGGGUGUAGAAUGUAAAGGAGGGACGCAUAAGAGUGCACGAUGGUGGCUUCGCAAAAAUAGGAGUGCGAGGUAUAUGAGUAUACGAAGGUGGCUUAACAAUGGUUGUGAGAGGGACAUGAGUAUGCGCUGGUGGCUUAACACCGAUAUAUAGUAGGAAGUACAAGAGUGUAUGAUGUUAGCUUGGCUACGUCCGGGAAUGGGAGAGACAUUUCCAAGGUUACAACUUGGGGUAAUUGGUGAACUAGCACUUGCAGUUCCAUCUUCUGUUGCUAUUGUAAUAUGCAACAAAACUUCAAUGAGUAAUAAUGCAUCUCUUCAGAAGUUAGUAUCUAGAGGUAUGCAUGAAGAUUGAUUUGGAUGCGACCAAAGGAAGUUUAUUUCAUGGAGCGAAGAGAUCUCACUUAUCGAGACUUCAACAAAAAAAAUAUAUUGCUAGAAAAUCUCCGUAAUGUUCAAGGCAGAAGAGCAACGGUAUUUACCAAGAUAAGGCAAAAAAGCUAAUCGAGGGAGCUUCAGAUAAGAAUUCUUUUAUAUAAAUAUUUGGUAACGUGAUGACUUUAACACUACAAUAUGGAAAUCGAAACUGCCAUUAGUAAAAUGUAGCAGAGCGUUAGAUACAAUAUGUUCUUGCUAUACCCCAUGUUAUUUUUUUUUUUUGAUCGGUAAAAUUAAAUUGAAAAGAAAAAGAAAAGAUUCACGGAAAGUGAACGCAAAGUUACGGAUACAAAGAGCUUGCAACAACAAUGCAACGAAAG